ACUGGAAAAGAGCACGGGGAGCGGAGCGGUUACUUUGCUGAGAAUGUUGUGCCUCCUUCUAUUACAUCUCUGCCAGCCUUUUCCCCCUUUCCUUAGCCUCGUUUGGGGACGUUAGUGUACAAAACGCACACAGUACGAAGCACAGAGGAGCGCUGGCACCCGGAGCUGUCGCUCGGGCCUCUCGCUCGGAGCGGCGGGCGCGGGCGGCACCUCGCGGGCAGCGGCGGCGCCGGGGCCGGCCGGGAUUCACCGCGGGAAGCGCCGCAGCCGGGCUCGCCCCUGGCCCCCGAGAGCCCUUAACUGUGAACAAGCGAACAGCACCCCCUCAGAUCAGUACUCGGUGUUUAAACUCUGAUUGCAUUACUCUGACAACAGAAUAUGGAAAAAUAAACAUACCCCCCUGCUCCCUAUUCAACAGGUAUCUGGUUAGCACUUGCCUCUGAUUCUCAAAGCUUUGGAAGUGUUCAGGUGAUAAAAAGAAAUGCUCUAAGUGGAGUUUAGACCCUUGCAUAGUGCUCAGCCCUGCAAGAAAUAUGGGUAUGAUAAAGUGAUUUUAGGCAGAUCAGGGUCCAGUGGAGCUAUUCAGAUGAACCUUCACUGUAAUAAUGGUGUUAAGGAGCAUUUGACAAAAAAAAUGUACGUGAUUUUCAUCAUCAUUAAGAAAUCCAAAUAAUUUCAGCAGAACUUGGCAGGAACUCCAAACAGUAUCAAAGUAGGAAUUUACUUGGAGAGUUCACGUAAAAUCAAGCUGAUUUCAUCUAUACUUUUCAAAAAACAUGCAGGAAACUCUGCACAUCAGUGUCUGUGUCAUGUUAGGACUUAAGUCCACACAUCAAACAGCUCCUAGGUAUUAAAAUGAAAAACCAAAAGUGGGGGGUUUUGUUGUUGUUUCUUUGUUUAAAAGUCACUGCCAGAUGCUUCUGUAAUCCCAGCCUCUCAUCCCAUUAAGUACUGUCAAUGUUCCAAAGGUACAUCCUGUAUAUUUUGCUGGAACACUGCAUAAUAUGUCUGACACCACAAAAAGAUUUCUCCCCUAUCUACUAUAGUGUCAUAUUGUUGCAUCUUUGUUUUCUUUACAUCUUUAAUGCACUCAGAAUAUUUUUUCUAAUUUGAAAACAAAUGUUCCAAACUGGCAAAUCUGUAAUGUAAUUUCAAAACCAGUGAUGUAGUCCUUUACCUAGUUAAUGUUAUUUUUCAAGGAUGCAAGGCAAAGCUGGUGGGAAACUGCAACUCCUGUGAAUUAUAAUAUUCUCUGCUGAACAUACUGCAAUGCUUGCAAAGAAACUGACUUUAUAUAAUUCUUUUUCAUUAUGAGAAAUAAGAUUUCUUAGCAUAGUACCUCUCAUGAAAUGGAAAAGAACAUAUGGUCAGAAAAGGUCUAUGUAAAGGUUAGUUAAUCCGGUUGCUCAUCUCAGACAUGACCAUGGGGGUAUAGGAUUCAUGUUCUUCAAUAAGUUGUCUCUCUGCUGCUGGAGCAUGUUGCCAGCAGCUGAAACAGGUUCUCUAUGAGCACAGAAGCUUCCCUGAGUAACAGCUCUGGGGGCAUCCAUGUGGAAUAGUUGUGGUUACAGGUGGGGAGUGAUAGAGAACAAAGAGGCCAGUGAUAGCAGGACCAGAGACUUUUCAUAGGAGGCAUUUUUUAGUUCUUUUUUAAGAGGCUUAGUGGGUUCAGGUGCAGCAUUUUUCUUCUUGUAAGCAAGAUGCUCAUUCUGGCUUUCUUUCCUUCUCCCUGAAUAGCUGUUAGAACAGAGCUAGGCCACAGA